AAAGCGUGCGCAGGCGGUUAUGUAAGACAGAUGUGAAAUCCCCGGGCUCAACCUGGGAACUGCAUUUGUGACUGCAUGGCUAGAGUACGGUAGAGGGGGAUGGAAUUCCGCGUAUAGCAGUGAAAUGCGUAGAUAUGCGGAGGAACACCGAUGGCGAAGGCAAUCCCCUGGACCUGUACUGACGCUCAUGCACGAAAGCGUGGGGAGCAAACAGGAUUAGAUACCCCUGU
rnacentral:rRNA from 1 species